UCUGGUUGAUCCUGCCAGUAGUCAUAUGCUUGUCUCAAAGAUUAAGCCAUGCAUGUCUAAGUAUAAGUUCUGUACUGCGAAACUGUGAAUGGCUCAUUAUAACAGUUAUUAUUCCCUGGCCGGUCAGUGAUUCCUUGGAUACCCAUGGUAAUUCUAGAGCUAAUACAUGCUUAAAAACCCGACUUCUUGAAGGGUUGCGCUUAUUAGAUACCGAACCAACCCAGGCUCUGUCUGGUUUUCGUUGAUUCAUAGUGUUCUGGCGAAUCGACUCGCAAGAGUCGAUGAGGCUAUCAAGUUUCUGACCUAUCAGCUUCCGACGGUAGGAUAUUGGCCUACCGUGGCUUUGACGGGUAACGGAGAAUUAGGGUUCGAUUCCGGAGAGGGAGCCUGAGAAACGGCUACCACAUCUAAGGAAGGCAGCAGGCGCGUAAAUUACCCAAUCCUGACACAGGGAGGUAGUGACAAGAAAUAUCAAUAUAAGACGUUUCUGUCUUGUAAUUGGGAUGAGCGAAACAUAAACCGCUUCUCGAGUAUCAAUUGGAGGGCAAGUCUGGU
rnacentral:rRNA from 1 species